rnacentral:rRNA from 1 species
UGUGUAGGCGGUUGCCUAAGUUUGGUGUGAAAUCUCCCGGCUCAACCGGGAGGGUGCGCCGAAUACUGAGUGACUCGAGUGCGGGAGAGGAGAGUGGAAUUCCUGGUGUAGCGGUGAAAUGCGUAGAUAUCAGGAGGAACACCGGUGGUGUAGACGGCUCUCUGGACCGUAACUGACGCUGAGACACGAAAGCGUGGGUAGCAAACAGGAUUAGAUACCCUGGUAGUCCACGCCCUAAACGAUGCAUAUUUGGUGUGGGCCGUUCAGUCGGUCCGUGCCGGAGCUAACGCGUUAAAUAUGCCGCCUGGGGAGUACAGUCGCAAGGCUGAA